AACGCGAAGAACCUUACCUGGACUUGACAUGGCACUGCAAGCGCACGGAAACGUGUGACCUUCGAGGGUGUGCCACAGGUGCUGCAUGGCUGUCGUCAGCUCGUGUCGUGAGAUGUUGGGUUAAGUCCCGCAACGAGCGCAACCCCCGUGGCGUGUUGCCAGCAUUAAGUUGGGGACUCACGCCAGACUGCCGGUGACAAACCGGAGGAAGGUGGGGAUGACGUCAAGUCAUCAUGCCCCUUAUGUCCAGGGCUACACACGUGCUACAUUGGCGCGUACAGAGGGAUGCAAUACCGCGAGGUGGAGCAAAUCCCACAAAGCGCGUCUCGGUUCGGAUUGGAGGCUGAAACUCGCCUCCAUGAAGCUGGAGUUGCUAGUAAUCGCGGAUCAGCAACGCCGCGGUGAAUACGUUCCCGGGCCUUGUACACACCG
rnacentral:rRNA from 1 species